rnacentral:lncRNA from 1 species
UAAUUAUGUAUAUAUAUAUUUCUCUUUUUUUUUGUAGAUUGUGCAAAGCUAAAUGCCCAGAUGGGCGAAUUGACUGCACAGAAGGUGGAAAAUGAGAUACUUCUUGAGGUAAUACGAGCGCAAACUGUUACCAAAUGAUGGAUAUCUGUGUAUGUAAAUAUGUAUGUACAUAUGUAUACAUAAGCAUCUUUUUUUUAAUAGGAAGUUAAAACUUUAGAAGACGAUGCUGUUUUACAUAAACUAGUUGGUUUAGUCUUGGUAAAAGAAGAAAAGAGUAAAUGCUAUGACACUAUAACGAGAAGAAUACACUACAUACGUGGGGAAAUGUAAAUUGAAAAAUAAAAACACGUAAAUUUGAGUUUGCAUAAAAAAAAGUAUACACAUAUGCAUGCUUAUACAUAUAUAUAUAUAUUUAUAACUUGUGUAAGAAUAUAAUUUUUUCUUUCCAUAUACUUUAUUAUAAAUUGUAACAAUACAUAAAUAACUAUUGAUUUAUAGGGAAAGCAGAAAAAAAGUCAUUAAAAACUUGGAGGAGAAACUAAAAAAGUUGUUCGCGGAUGUAAUAUAAUAUAUAUAUAUAUAUAAGACAGUUAUAUUUAUCCUAUAUAGUCAUAUAUGUUUUCUUUUUGACAUAUUAUAAGAUUUACCCAACUUUUGUUUUAAUAUAUCUUUUUUUUUUCUUUCUUUUUCUUUACAGUUGGAGGUACACACCAAUAAAAAAAAAAUUGCAAUUCCACAANNNNNNNNNNAAAAAUAUACAAGUUCGAAAUAAUUAUGUAUAUAUAUAUUUCUCUUUUUUUUUGUAGAUUGUGCAAAGCUAAAUGCCCAGAUGGGCGAAUUGACUGCACAGAAGGUGGAAAAUGAGAUACUUCUUGAGGAAGUUAAAACUUUAGAAGACGAUGCUGUUUUACAUAAACUAGUUGGUUUAGUCUUGGUAAAAGAAGAAAAGAGUAAAUGCUAUGACACUAUAACGAGAAGAAUACACUACAUACGUGGGGAAAUGGAAAGCAGAAAAAAAGUCAUUAAAAACUUGGAGGAGAAACUAAAAAAGUUGUUCGCGGAUGUAAUAUAAUAUAUAUAUAUAUAUAAGACAGUUAUAUUUAUCCUAUAUAGUCAUAUAUGUUUUCUUUUUGACAUAUUAUAAGAUUUACCCAACUUUUGUUUUAAUAUAUCUUUUUUUUUUCUUUCUUUUUCUUUACAGUUGGAGGUACACACCAAUAAAA